AAGGGUGAGUAAGGCGACGGUAACCAACCCCAGGAUUGGGUAUAGCCGCGGGAAACCGCGGGUAAUCCCCAGCGACGCAACGGCACCGGCAUCGGUGCCUUGCCAAAGCUUCGGCGUCGUGGGACGGGCUGUCGUGGUAUUAGCUUGUUGGCGGGGUAAUGGCCCACCAAGGCUCUGAUGCCUACCGGGCGUGCGAGCGUGGCCCGGCACACUGGGACUGAGACACUGCCCAGACUCCUACGGGAGGCUGCAGUCGAGAAUCUUCGGCAAUGGGCGCAAGCCUGACCGAGCGACGCCGCGUGGAGGAUGAAGGCCUUCGGGUUGUAAACUCCUGUCGAGGGGGAAAAAGGGUCGAAAGGCCUUGAUUGAUCCCUGGAGGAAGCACGGGCUAAGUUCGUGCCAGCAGCCGCGGUAAGACGAACCGUGCGAACGUUAUUCGGAAUCAUUGGGCUUAAAGCGCGUGUAGGCGGAUUCGUGCGUCUGUCGCUGAAAUCCCCCGGCUCAACCGGGGAAGUGGCGUGGAUACGACGAGUCUGGAGGGGCAUAGGGGGACCUGGAACUUCCGGUGGAGCGGUGAAAUGCGUUGA
rnacentral:rRNA from 1 species